UACGUAGGGUGCAAGCGUUGUCCGGAAUUAUUGGGCGUAAAGAGCUUGUAGGCGGUUUGUCGCGUCUGCUGUGAAAUUUCGGGGCUCAACCCCGAACUUGCAGUGGGUACGGGCGGACUAGAGUGUGGUAGGGGAGACUGGAAUUCCUGGUGUAGCGGUGAAAUGCGCAGAUAUCAGGAGGAACACCGAUGGCGAAGGCAGGUCUCUGGGCCAUAACUGACGCUGAGAAGCGAAAGCAUGGGGAGCGAACAGG
rnacentral:rRNA from 1 species